UACGAGGGGGCGAGCGUUGUUCGGAAUUAUUGGGCGUAAAGGGUGCGUAGGCGGUUUGAUAAGUCUUGUGUGAAAUCGUCUGGGCUCAACCCAGAGUCUGCAUAGGAAACUGUCGGGCUUGAGUAUGGGAGAGGUGAGUGGAAUUCCGGUGUAGCGGUGAAAUGCGUAGAUAUCGGAAGAACACCCGUGGCGAAGGCGGCGCUCUGGACGGUACUGACGCUGAGACGCGC
rnacentral:rRNA from 1 species